rnacentral:misc_RNA from 1 species
UCACUGCUUGCGCAGGCAGUCUCCCUAGAGUCCCUCCAUAUUGCUAUGAACUGGCAACUAAGAAUAGGGGUUGCGCUCGUUGCGGGACUUAACCCAACACCUCACGGCACGAGCUGACGACAACCAUGCAGCACCUUGCACUUUGUCCCGAAGGAAAUUCCGCUUUCACGGACUGUCAAAGGCAUUCUAGCCCAGGUAAGGUUCCUCGCGUACCAUCGAAUUAAACCACAUGCUCCACCGCUUGUGCGGGCCCCCGUCAAUUCCUUUGAGUUUCAAUCUUGCGAUCGUACUCCCCAGGUGGGUUACUUAUCGGUUUCCCUUGGGCGCCCAUCUCUUGCGAGACGAACACCUAGUAACCAUCGUUUACAGCGUGGACUAC